UUGGUCUCAAUUGGCCAUUGA
rnacentral:piRNA from 1 species